rnacentral:lncRNA from 1 species
GAAACCCUCUUGGGCCUAACCUUACGACCUGUCCUCGAAGGCGUCGGUUGAGAAAGUUUGUCGACAGUCUACACGGAAAUCGAGAGUGACACACAACAACCAGUUAAUAUCGUCUGUCCUCGUAUGAAAUCAGCAAUGUCUGUAGUCAGUGUUCCCUCCGUCAACGCUUCAUCGCCGUAUUUCCACGUGGAGAUGACCUACAGCACGUCUGUUUAAUAAUCUGUGUGCGACGUAUCUGAAGUAUCUGCUAUAUUUCUAAUGUUCAGAACACCGAAAUCUUGGUGGAAAAAGGUCAGGUCUUACUGGUCUUUAUUCCACGGUUAUCAUGACUUAUACAAGAUGUGUGAUAAGCUGCAGCAAUUUUUUCAGUAUUUCCAACGUUGUAAGAAUAGGCGUAAAUAACUUGCAAACAAGAUGGCUGAUGGUCACAACGAAAUUAACCGACAAGUAACAUGUUCGGAACGAACGGACCUUGUGCCCAAUGCGACUACGCUGAUCCAUUCUCGACUUGUGUGGAAAAGCUGGAGUAUCGACCGACACUCGACAUAGGAUCAUUACUAAACAGGAUGAAUAAUCGUCCAAGUUGUAACAAGUAUACGGAAGGAAAUUAAUGUUUACGUACACCGUCCGAAGUGUAACUGCAUAAUACAUGUGGCCUAUAAAAUUAGUGAUACGGUCAGCAGAACGGUGUAUGAAUUGUUUAGACAUCUCUGCUCUGUAAGAUGAAUUAGUAGGUCUCGUGACGUUUCGAUCUUAUCGAAUGAUGCAAUUGGAGUGGUAAAUUUACAAGCAAAACAGAAGAAUAUGGCACCACCGACAGUGACUGUCCGACAAAUGCAAGACAUCUCUGAGAAACUUUCAAACGGCCCGAAUCUUUCUCCGCCACGAAAAACAGCGCUAGUAGUGAGUGAAAGCACUGUGUACUAAAAAAAGAUUUUUUUUGUAUUGAAGAAAAUGGACAUUGACAGCGUCAUUCUGAAACAGAGACUUUUCUCAGGACAACCGAAGGGAGCAUAAGCCAAAACAUGUUCACCCACGGGCCAUCGAUAACGAAGACGUCUGAACAGAAAACCCGGCCACUUCAACCGGACUUCCCAGCAGCCAAAUCAGUUUCAGGACAAUUAAUCACCACCAAGUGAAGUUAACCUAUAAAAACCGCUGAUGGGAAAGGCAGCACGGAACUGGAUAGUUAGGCUAUCGCCAACGGGUUCCACCUGAGCCAUUGGUCAAGGAUUUUGUGAAGCAAGCUCAGACAGCAUUGACGACUAGGGAGCCGACUAUGGUACGCGAUACCCUGAAUCACUGCAGCCCCGCGCAAGGAUAAUCGCAAAGCUUGUACCGAGGCUUUUAUGAGUUAGUAAAAAUUACACCGAGGAGCUGCAAUUCUGAUGCUUCUUUCACGGGAAGAUCUAGGCAGUGUAGAUAUCGUUGCGUUAACAAAGAUUUGAGCAGAGUGCCCUUUUAACCAAUCGAGUUGUUAUUCUGUGUACUACCGCGCAAUGAGGAACAGCGACACAGGUCGCCCUAAUCGAGACAUCUGUUUUCUACAGUAGUAAGGAAGGCGAUUUCAUGUCUGGCCUAGUGAAGGAUUGUGUUGUUGCCUUACGUGCCAGUGGCUAAGUUCCGUACAGCCUGUCUUCGGCCGACUGAUUCAGAGUCAACUUAUGCGGUGAUGCAAAAACUCGUCAGCUGACAGGAAGCUCUAUUUGCUCAUAAUCUGUCUCUCCUCUAUUCGACUUCAACGUACACCGACUUUAAUUACUAGGUAUUCAGUCCCACCUAAAUAUCGAUUUUCUCUUCUCUUCUCUCUCAAGAUCUUUGGUUCUCAAUAUAUUUCCAGAAAUAGAGUUAAGUUUGAGAGUGAAAGUCAUCUUUGUUAAAGGACGCACGCAUUGCUCCUAACACACCAAUAACGAUAGACCUCCCUGUUCAAGUUGCAGCUGCGCAGACUGUCACACACACACUAAACUCGAUGCCUAAGUGUAGAUAAACUCCGAAAAUGUAGCCACGAAGUUCUUGUAUCUGACUCUCCAGUGUACAGUACGGCCUUUUUGUACUACUGGCAAUAAUACACCGAGGCUAAACUGUAUUUGCAGCUUUGCCCGGAAGGCCCAGAUGGCCUUCAGGGCCUUCAGAUGGUAAUACAGCCGUAGUGCUAACUUCUUAUUCUAAAGGGCGAUCCAUAGAAGAACGUAUGCGUCAUAAAGGCAACAAUUUUUUAAAUAUGUAGAGACAUGUUCGAUCGCCGGUGCAGAACGUCAACCACGCGAGUGGCUAAUAUGCCACGGCAACUCGCCGGCUUUCCCGAUUAGCGCCUCGGUCCACAUAAAGCACUUCGUGGAUAUGUUUGCGUCAAGGAAUACGAUACCACGCGCGGUGUCCUUUUUCGCCGCAGCGUAAGAGGAGGAGAUUUUAAUAUACCACAAUAGUUUUCAGAAAAACUACGAUGCGGAAACCAAUGCAAGAUCUUCGAAGCUUACGCAGCAAGUAGACCGCUGGUCCAAGCGAGGUUUGCGACAAACAUCUUCAAUGCGCCGUUAUUCUAGCACCGUGCUGAACGAUACAAUUUAAUUAAUGUUUACAUAUUGGUGCAUUUCCAGCUCAGAGAAAGGAUACUAUUCUGUUGGUGAUAUUGCCCCGUCAUUAUAGUGAAGAGUAAUGAAGAAAAGCAUUUGCUAUAAACUAAAAGAGACUAAAUAGAUUUAAAGCGAGCACGUCAUCCCAACAGAGCAACAUAGAUUCCGGAAAAAAUGGUGCACAGAGAUAGCGUGCAGGAUCCUGACAGGCGACAUCAAGAGAGCACUAACCACGCUGCACCAUCUGCUAUACUCUUGUUCUCCGUAUUGCUGAGGAGCCUCCCUAGUCAGUUAAGAGGGCCAGGGAAAUCAAUCGAAGUCAUCAAGUUUCACAUAUAUUGAGCUCCACACCGUCCGCACGCAACAGUCACACACUUGGGAAUAACCGUAAGCCUGAUCAAGAAGGAGCAGACGAAAUUUAGAAGAGGAGGCAGAACAAUGGCUACUGACCUGGUACCGAGCCAGGUCUGUCCCAAAUCUGAUCCCUUGAAGUGUCGAAUUAGGCUAA